rnacentral:lncRNA from 1 species
UCCUCCACUUAAGUUGAAGGUUUCUCCUCAUCUGAUUGAGAGCAUGGAGGCUCAGAAUUAACAAAAAAGUCAUCCACUGUAAUUAAAACCAUAAGGUAAGAUGUAAGCAUCUUUGGUUUAUCAAAUUCUAACUUACAAAUAAAAUUAAAAGCAAUAACAGAAUAUGAAGAACAUAUUAACUCUAUAAGACCUACAUCCCGAACCUAAUACAACCUGGCACAUUGGCCUGUUUCGAUUAACUUAUUUGAGUUUAUCUACUGGCAUAAAUACUUGCGAGACUGUUUAAGAGAGCUUAUGGAAAUUGUUUGACAUGUUGACAAGCUGCUUUUAGCUUAUUUUCAUAAGCUCUCUAGGAUAGCUUAUGAAAAUAGCUUAUAACUUAUAUAAAAAUAGUUUGACUUUAAUUAUGUUUUUAUUAUACAAAUAGCUUAUACAUACGAACUUAUAUGAUAGCUCUUAUGAUAUAAACGCUUAACUAUGUUGUGGUUCAAAACUUAAGAUCUUAUUUGAUUGUCAACUAAAUCUUGUAGGACUGCUAUAUUCAUCAAAGUUAUUAAAAUUUAGGACAUGUAAAAAGAAUCAAAAUGUGCAUUUAAAAUUACCUAUAUCCUGUUGAUCUGGAGAUUCAAGCAACAUGUCUGAAUCAGAUGGCAAAAAUGGCGAACCCGGAUAGUUUCCUAGAGCUCCAAGAUCUGCAAAGAGUUCAACAUAUUUCAUUGCGAAAAUACAUCAUGAUAGGACUACUAUUUUGAAGUCUUAGGGCUUGCUUGGUGUCGACAGAUUGGUGAACAUACAAAAUCUUAAGUAGAAUCCUUGACUGAAUUGAAUCCAAGGUGUGAGAUUUUCCAUCAUUUACUUGAAAUUGAUAGCACUUAAGUCAUCGAUAGCAAACUUAGAAAUUGUUAAUGGUGCUGCCAAUAUAUUUUGUAUCUUUUGAUAACAACAGAAAAUGUUUGCAUGCUAACAGUUCUCCACAGAUAAGGAAACACAGACACAACUCAAAAUCAAAUAUUAAAUUAUUAACAAACAAUAAGUGCAUCAUUCUUCUUUUCAGAGGACAAAUUUUCCUACAUUCUAGAAAAAAUUAUGCAAACAGCUUAUAAUUUAUAUGAAAACAAUUUGACUUUUAUAUUUUUUUAUUAUAGAAAUAGAUUAUACAUAAGCACUUACUACUCCGGGUCUCAAAUAAGUAACUGGUCAAAGAAAGUUUGAUGAAUUUGGUUCAAAUUUUGGACCAUAUACAUCAACUUUCUCUGACCAAUUUUUCCUUAUAUUUGAGACCAGAGGGAGUAUAUAAUAAGCACUUAAUUAGUCUGGUUAACCAAGCAGGAUCUAUAUAUCUAAAAAGAAGAUCAUAGAUAAUAAAUGACCUCCCAAGUUUGGUAAAUCUGCGGUUAAGUCUGAUAGGCUAAAAUUCCACUGAAUUUGAUCCAGCGAUCUAGAAAUCCCGUUCCCGCCAUCCGGUGCAAGCUGCAGUCCUACCGAACUUACCACAUCAGAAUUAAAUGCUGAAUCAAGAACUGAUGCAUCUGUG